rfam:Mus musculus chromosome X, GRC primary reference assembly.
GGGGAUGUAGCUCAGAGGUAGAGCACGUGCUUCGCAUGUGUGUGGUCCCGGGGUUCGAUUCCCGGCAUCUCCA